GUAAACGGCGGCCGUAACUAUAACGGUCCUAAGGUAGCGAAAUUCCUUGUCGGGUAAGUUCCGACCCGCACGAAAGGUGUAACGACUUGCGCACUGUCUCAACGAGGGACCCGGUGAAAUUGAAGUACCUGUGAAGAUGCAGGUUACCCGCGACUGGACAGAAAGACCCCAUGGAGCUUUACUGCAACCUAAGAUUGAACUUAGUUAAUGAAUGUACAGGAUAGGUGGGAGACUUAGAACCUAGGACGCCAGUUUUAGGGGAGUCGCUGUUGGGAUACCACCCUUUCAUUAAUUGAUUUCUAACGGGCCGAGUAACGACCGGCCGGACAGUCUUAGGCGGGCAGUUUGACUGGGGCGGUCGCCUCCUAAAGAGUAACGGAGGCGCCCAAAGGUUCCCUCAGAGCGGACGGAAAUCGCUCGAAGAGUGUAAAGGCAGAAGGGAGCUUGACUGCGAGACGGACAGGUCGAGCAGGGACGAAAGUCGGGCUUAGUGAUCCGGUGGUGCCGAGUGGAAGGGCCAUCGCUCAACGGAUAAAAGCUACCCUGGGGAUAACAGGCUAAUCUCUCCCAAGAGUCCAUAUCGACGGGGAGGUUUGGCACCUCGAUGUCGGCUCAUCACAUCCUGGGGCUGAAGUAGGUCCCAAGGGUUGGGCUGUUCGCCCAUUAAAGUGGUAGGUGAGCUGGGUUCAGAACGUCGUGAGACAGUUCGGUCCCUAUCCAUCGCGGGCGCAAGAAACUUGAAGGGGGCUGCUCCUAGUACGAGAGGACCGGAGUGGACGAACCGCUGGUGUACCAAUUAUCCUGCCAAGGGUACAGUUGGGUAGCUACGUUCGGGACGGAUAAACGCUGAAAGCAUCUAAGCGUGAAACCAGCCUUGAGAUGAGGUUUCUCAUAGCAUAAGCUAGUAAGAUCCCAUGUAGACGACAUGGUAGAUAGGCCAGGUGUGGAAGAGCCGUGAGGUUUGGAGCUGACUGGUACUAAUCGAUCGAGGGCUUUACUUA
rnacentral:rRNA from 1 species